UACGUAGGGACCAAGCGUUGUUCGGAUUUACUGGGCGUAAAGGGCGCGUAGGCGGCGCGGUAAGUCACUUGUGAAAUCUCUGAGCUUAACUCAGAACGGCCAAGUGAUACUGCAGUGCUAGAGUGUGGAAGGGGCAACCGGAAUUCUUGGUGUAGCGGUGAAAUGCGUAGAUAUCAAGAGGAACACCUGAGGUGAAGACGGGUUGCUGGGCCAACACUGACGCUGAUGCGCGAAAGCCAGGGGAGCAAACGGG
rnacentral:rRNA from 1 species